rnacentral:rRNA from 1 species
CACGUAGGGCGCGAGCGUUGUCCGGAAUUAUUGGGCGUAAAGAGCUCGUAGGCGGUCUGUUACGUCUGCUGUGAAAACCCGGGGCUUAACCCUGGGCUUGCAGUGGAUACGGGCAGACUAGAGGCAGGUAGGGGAGAAUGAAAUUCCCGGUGUAGCGGUGAAAUGCGCAGAUAUCGGGAGGAACACCGGUGGCGAAGGCGGUUCUCUGGGCCUGACCUGACGCUGAGGAGCGAAAGCGUGGGGAGCGAACAGG